AUGAACAAAGCAAGAGGAAGGGGGAGGGCCCCUUGGUGCUAUUUUCAGCCAUUAUUAACAGAGAUCAAAAGCAGCAGCACAAAGUCAGAGCCCAUCGAAGGGUACAGGGCUGCGAUCCCAGCCGGGAGCGGAUGCUGGUGGGAUGGGGUCACGCGUCCGGACGCCUGGGAUCCCUGUGCUCUGCUGGAAACACCCCGCAGGCUGCAGCAACUCGUGCAGCAGGCUUCAGAUUUGGAGGCAAGUCUCCGUGUUUCUUCUAUUUGUUACCACUUUGUGUUACAGAGCCUGGGAGCCCAAGGCGCAGUCUCGCCCCGACACGUGGGUGUGCGUAGCAGAAUCUGAGCAAGUCCCUCCAGCAGCAGGGAAAGGCAGAAUUAAGCAAUCAAGGGAAUAACCAAAGCAGAUAGAGGGAGAGGGAAACGCGUUCCUCCUCAUCUGAUACAAAAGGAGUAGAACCUUGGGAGAGGGACCUUGUGCAGGACGGGUUGGGCUCACAUCCCUUAGGCACUGUGUCCCCAUGGGGACCAACCCACCAGCCCCAAGCCAGCACCAUGGCCAAGCUCACCUGGCUUCUGCGUUCCUCUGAAGCUCCUGGCGACGAAGUACUCGAAAGCAGCGAGAUCCCACUAAGAGUCAGGCAGUUUGGAAAUAUAUUCCUUCCAAUCUCAGGAAACAGAGCUUCCUGCCCCGCAGCUCGCCGGGACUGAGCCUGCUCUGCCUCGGAGCGCGGAUUUUGCUGCAGGGCUCAGGACCAUCCGCCCGAAAAUUGAACCAUUGUUAUGCCGUGGAAGAACGCAACGAAACCCGAAGGAUGGCUCCAAAAUUCCUUUCCGUUUAAUUCCCGUGAACUAAUGACUCUGCACAUCGGUGGAAGAGUCUCACCAAACCCACCUAGCUCUCAUUAAUUAGCACCGUUCCGUGGUUGCUGCUGUGCCCCCAUCCCAGCCACGUGCUGGCAAGGAAGGCAACAUCACAAACAGUGCUCAAUGCAGCUGUGAAGUGCAGCAAUUGUUUUAGAUUGGCCACGAGUUAUGCAGAGAUUAUGACACCCAUUAAUGAAAUCCCACCUGUGACUUGUAAAACAAGCUCCGGUUUUUCCCUGGGAGUUUCCAAGAUCACUUUUUUCAUCAUAUGACGUGGUGCUGUCAUAUGAUUUUGCCGCAGGUUUCUGUAUGUAACUGCACUUAGCUAAAAUGACUUUAUGCUUUAAAUUAAAAGAGAGAGAGACAAAGAGGAAUCCUUGAGGACUUCGGUGGCAGCCCGCAUCAGCACAAGAAAAGGAACGAAAGCAGCAAUUAUCACUUCCUCACUUGCUCAAUAGCAAUUUGCAAAGCAGUCAAUAACUGAAGGCGAUGCCCGUGAGUGUUUCAUUACAGCCA
rnacentral:lncRNA from 1 species